GCCAACAUGGUGUAAUGGUUUGAGCACUGGAUUCUGACUCUAGAGAGCAGGGUUCAGUUCCCUGCUUGGCC